GAUGAACGCUGGCGGCGUGCCUAAUACAUGCAAGUCGAACGCACAGCGAAAGGUGCUUGCACCUUUCAAGUGAGUGGCGAACGGGUGAGUAACACGUGGACAACCUGCCUCAAGGCUGGGGAUAACAUUUGGAAACAGAUGCUAAUACCGAAUAAAACUCAGUGUCGCAUGACACAAAGUUAAAAGGCGCUUUGGCGUCACCUAGAGAUGGAUCCGCGGUGCAUUAGUUAGUUGGUGGGGUAAAGGCCUACCAAGACAAUGAUGCAUAGCCGAGUUGAGAGACUGAUCGGCCAACUUGGGACUGAGACACGGCCCAAACUCCUACGGGAGGCUGCAGUAGGGAAUCUUCCACAAUGGGCGAAAGCCUGAGGGAGCAACGCCGCGUGUGUGAUGAAGGCUUUCGGGUCGUAAAGCACUGUUGUAUGGGAAGAACAGCUAGAAUAGGGAAUGAUUUUAGUUUGACGGUACCAUACCAGAAAGGGACGGCUAAAUACGUGCCAGCCGCCGCCGUAA
rnacentral:rRNA from 1 species